rnacentral:sRNA from 1 species
UGUUGCUGCCCUCCUUGGGCGUUUCCUCCCUACACUUGGGCCGCUCGUGCGAACGAGCGGCCCCUUUAUUUUCAACG